CCUACGGGAGGCAGCAGUGGGGAAUUUUGGACAAUGGGCGAAAGCCUGAUCCAGCCAUGCCGCGUGCAGGAUGAAGGCCUUCGGGUUGUAAACUGCUUUUGUACGGAACGAAAAGGUCUUUUCUAAUAAAGAAGGCUCAUGGCGGUACCGUAAGAAUAAGCACCGGCUAACUACGUGCCAGCAGCCGCGGUAAUACGUAGGGUGCAAGCGUUAAUCGGAAUUACUGGGCGUAAAGCGUGCGCAGGCGGUUAUAUAAGACAGUUGUGAAAUCCCCGGGCUCAACCUGGGAACUGCAUCUGUGACUGUAUAGCUAGAGUACGGUAGAGGGGGAUGGAAUUCCGCGUGUAGCAGUGAAAUGCGUAGAUAUGCGGAGGAACACCGAUGGCGAAGGCAAUCCCCUGGACCUGUACUGACGCUCAUGCACGAAAGCGUGGGGAGCAAACAGGAUUAGAUACCCUGGUAGUCCACGCCCUAAACGAUGCCAACUGGUUGUUGGGUCUUCACUGACUCAGUAACGAAGCUAACGCGUGAAGUUGACCGCCUGGGGAGUCGGCGCAAGGUUGAAACUNAAAUUGAAUUGACGG
rnacentral:rRNA from 1 species